GCUUUGGCUCGCGCACAGUGCGCGCACCCACUGGCCUGCGCCCACUGUCUGGCACUCCCUAGUGAGAUGAUCCCGGUACCUCAGAUGGAAAUGCAGAAAUCACCCGUCUUCUGCGUCGCUCACGCUGGGAGCUGUAGACCGGAGCUGUUCCUAUUCGGCCAUCUUGGCUCCUCCCGAUUUUUUAAGCAGAAUUUUUCUUUUCUUAUUGUUGAGUUUUAAGUAUUCUUUGUAUAUUUUGGAGAACAGUCUUUUAACAGAUUUCUUUGUAGUCAAUUAGGACUGCCCAUUAAAGUGGCAGAAUAAGCACAGUGCCUGCUGCUAUGAUGUGAUGGGCCGUGGGAAACACUUUUCGCCUAAAAUCACCUCCUGCAAUGGCCUACUUAAGGCAUUUGAUUCACCUAUGUUAACAAAUUCAACCUUAGGAUUCCAAGACCACUUCCCAUCCUGCUGGGGUUUGGCUGGCUCAGAAAACUGGUGCACAGAUCUUCUUUGUUCCUCCAGCUGAACUCAAAUACAAACCUUCAUCCUGAUGAGAUAACGGGCAAUCUGUGUUUUGUCCCACUCCAUUGCUGUAUAUGCAAUCAAGGUACCCUCUCAGGACCCAGUGAUAAUAUUAAUUACAAUCUCUUAUUUAAAAGGAGUUCCUGCCUGAAGGUCUCUAUGCAAAGAUAAAGUUUCUCUGUUUUUGAGGCAGAGUCUCACUCUGUCACCAGGCUGGAGUGCAAUGGUGUGAUCUCUGCUCACUGCAACCUCUGCCUCCCGGGUUCAAGUGAUUCUCCUGCCUCAGCCUCCGGGGUAGCUGGGAUUACAGGCAUGCACCACCACGUCCAGCUAAUUUUUGUAUUUUUAGUAAAGCGGGGUUUCACCAUGUUGGCCGGGAUGGUCUUGAUCUCUUGACCUCGUGAUCUGCCCACCUCAGCCUUCCAAAGUGCUGGGAUUACAGGCAUGAGCCACCGGGCCCGGCCGAGAAGGUUUCUUUUUUUUUUUAAGAAGAAAGAGCCACUUCUGGUUAAGUCACAAAGCAAAGGGAAUGCUAGUCAUUCUUUUCUAUAGCAGGUCCAGCCAGGCAACAUGAGAUACACAGGCAUUAAGAACACAGGUACUGCCCUGAACUGGAGGGGAAUUUGUCAAAUCUAAUAUUUUCUGAAAAGUGUUCUCAGACCAUUCUGACCAUGAGUAACUUACUUCCUCCACCACUAAGCAUCUAGAAUAAACCUGUCAUGGCCACUCCUCUUGCCUUUCUUCAUCCUCUUAAGUUUUAUUAUAGUAGGUGAGAUUUGAGUAAAUAAGUUUUUGAAUUAAGUCACUUCUCUAUUGUUUUUAGUUAUGCAACUUCCAAC
rnacentral:lncRNA from 10 species